CCUACGGGAGGCAGCAGUAGGGAAUAUUGCUCAAUGGGGGAAACCCUGAAGCAGCAACGCCGCGUGGAGGAUGAAGGUUUUCGGAUUGUAAACUCCUUUUGUUAGAGAAGAUAAUGACGGUAUCUAACGAAUAAGCACCGGCUAACUCCGUGCCAGCAGCCGCGGUAAUACGGAGGGUGCAAGCGUUACUCGGAAUCACUGGGCGGAAAGAGCGCGUAGGCGGGAUAGCAAGUCAGAUGUGAAAUCCUAUGGCUUAACCAUAGAACUGCAUUUGAAACUGUUAUUCUAGAGUAUGGGAGAGGUAGGUGGAAUGCUUGGUGUAGGGGUAAAAUCCGUAGAGAUCAAGAGGAAUACUCAUUGCGAAGGCGACCUGCUAGAACAUAACUGACGCUGAUGCGCGAAAGCGUGGGGAGCAAACAGGAUUAGAUACCCUAGUAGUC
rnacentral:rRNA from 1 species